UGAUUGAACCUGGUCCAAUUCAUGUGCGA
rnacentral:sRNA from 1 species